CUGCAUGGCUGUCGUCAGCUCGUGUUGUGAAUGUUGGUUAAGUCCCGCAACGAGCGCAACCCUUAUCCUUGUUGCCAGCGGUCCGGCCGGGAACUCAAAGGAGACUGCCAGUGAUAAACUGGAGGAAGGUGGGGAUGACGUCAAGUCAUCAUGGCCCUUACGACCAGGGCUACACACGUGCUACAAUGGCGCAUACAAAGAGAAGCGACCUCGCGAGAGCAAGCGGACCUCAUAAAGUGCGUCGUAGUCCGGAUUGGAGUCUGCAACUCGACUCCAUGAAGUCGGAAUCGCUAGUAAUCGUGGAUCAGAAUGCCACGGUGAAUACGUUCCCGGGCCUU
rnacentral:rRNA from 1 species